AGCAGCCGCGGUAAUUCCAGCUCCAAUAGCGUAUAUUAAAGUUGUUGCAGUUAAAAAGCUCGUAGUUGAAUUUCGGGGUUAGUAGGUUGGUCGUGCCACUGGUACGUACUGGUCUCACUGACUCCUCCUUCCUGAUGAACUGUAAUGCCAUUAAUUUGGUGUUGCGGGGAAACUGGACUGUUACUUUGAAAAAUUAGAGUGUUUAAAGCAAGCUAACGCUUGAAUACAUUAGCAUGGAAUAAUGAAAUAGGACGUUCGAUCCUAUUUUGUUGGUUUCUAGGAUUGACGUAAUGAUUAAUAGGGAUAGUUGGGGGCAUUAGUAUUCAAUUGUCAGAGGUGAAAUUCUUGGAUUUUAUUGAAGACUAACUACUGCGAAAGCAUUUUGCCAAGGAUG
rnacentral:rRNA from 1 species